UACCUCUUCCUCUUCCAAUCUUUCUUCUUCUCUUCUCCUAUUUUUUAAUAGUCUUACCGAAUGAAUGAUUGCUAUUUUAUUUUUGGUGAACAAAGAUCUCCCUUGUAGAUGCAGAAUCAAUCCUACAAGUUUUAGACUCAUGUUAGGAUUGUAUUUUCUAAGCUUCUUUGUUCUCAUACUUCAUUUUGUAUAGGUUUAUUCAGUAGUACCUCAAUAUUGGUCUAGAGUACAAACUUGUUACCUUCACACACAAAAAUGUUACCUUCCAAUUUUUAGUGUGGCAUCGGAAUGUGCUUUUAGCAUCGGAGGCCGUAUUCUUGAUUCAUUUAGGAGUUCUUUAACUCCAAAAUUGGUGCAAGCUGUUAUUUGUCUUCAAGAUUGGCGUCGAAAUGAACCUUAUCCCAUAAAUGUUGAAGAUGAUUUUAAUGAUCUUAUGAAAUUUGAACUUGGUAUGGAUGAUAUUGACUACAUUGUUCAAGCUGAAAAACAGUGAAAGCAGAUUUUGGAUCAGUUAACUUAUGGAUAUUCUGAAGAGCUAUUUUUUGAGCAAAAAUUCCAAGCUAUGAUGUAUUAGAAUAUGGAUUGCUUCUUGGUGGUGAUAUUGAUAAGCAAAGAGGGGUGGUUCUCUGUUUCCUCUGCCGCUAUUAUUUCUGAGGCUCAGGUUUGAUUGUAAUGCGUUAUAAGUUUAAUUCAAGUCGACUAACUUUUUCAAGGUUACAAUGAAGUCUUGUUCUCUGUUUCCUCUGCUGCUACUGUUUCUGAGUUGCUGUUGUGUGUUGUUGUUGUAGUGUAGCUGCUACAGGUGUUGCUGUUGUUGCUGCAGCCUGCAGGUUUGAAGUGUGAAGUUCCUUGAAGAGUUGUUUCUUGGAGUUGAAGCUCUGCAGCUCAGCAAGUUGUUACUUGGAGUUGGAUGUUACAGCUCUGCAACUGCAAGAAUCAAGAUAACUAAUCUGAAGAGUGAUCCUUCACAUCAAACUGCAGCUUCAAAGUGAUGUUGCAUGUACCUGCAUAGAAGAUGCAUACAAAAAGAAACUAUACUAGUGUAGGAAAGAAAAAAAAAUGAAGGCAGCAACUUUAAUUUCAGCUUGGUUGUUAGAACCCGAUGAAGGCAGCAUCAAAAAAAUGAAGGCAGCAGCAAAAAAAAUGAAGGCAACUACAAGCUUCACAUCUUUUAACUUUUAUUGUUGCUAUUGUGAAUAUGAUGUACUAACAUAUUCCGUGUGGACUUCGACUUCAAUAUGGUAUUACCAAAUACCGUACCGAAUUAAAUUUUGAUUUACCGAUUAUCGAAUUACCAAAUCGAAGUUUGAAA